GAUGAACGCUAGCUACAGGCUUAACACAUGCAAGUCGAGGGGCAGCAUGAACUUAGCUUGCUAAGUUUGAUGGCGACCGGCGCACGGGUGAGUAACACGUAUCCAACCUUCCGUUUACUCAGGGAUAGCCUUUCGAAAGAAAGAUUAAUACCUGAUGGUAUGAUGAGAUUGCAUGAUAGCAUCAUUAAAGAUUUAUCGGUGUACGAUGGGGAUGCGUUCCAUUAGGUAGUAGGCGGGGUAACGGCCCACCUAGCCAACGAUGGAUAGGGGUUCUGAGAGGAAGGUCCCCCCACAUUGGAACUGAGACACGGUCCAAACUCCUACGGGAGGCAGCAGUGAGGAAUAUUGGUCAAUGGACGAGAGUCUGAACCAGCCAAGUAGCGUGAAGGAUGAAGGUCCUACGGAUUGUAAACUUCUUUAAUAAGGGAAUAAACCCUCCCACGUGUGGGANCUUGUAUGUACCUUAUGAAUAAGC
rnacentral:rRNA from 1 species